UGGUGCAUGGCCGUCGUCAGUUCGUACUGUGAAGCAUCCUGUUAAGUCAGGCAACGAGCGAGACCCACGCCCACAGUUGCCAGCGUACUCUCCGGAGUGACGGGUACACUGUGGGGACCGCCGCUGCUAAAGCGGAGGAAGGAAUGGGCAACGGUAGGUCAGUAUGCCCCGAAUAUCCCGGGCUACACGCGAGCUACAAUGGUUGGUACAAUGGGUAUCUACCCCGAAAGGGGAUGGAAAUCUCCUAAAGCCAAUCUUAGUUCGGAUUGAGGGCUGCAACUCGCCCUCAUGAAGCUGGAAUCCGUAGUAAUCGCGUUUCAACAGAACGCGGUGAAUACGUCCCUGCUCCUUGC
rnacentral:rRNA from 1 species